UCCCUGGUGGCUCAGAUGGUAAAGCGUCUGCCUACAAUGCAGGAGACUUGGGUUAAAUCCCUGGGUCGGGAA
rnacentral:tRNA from 1 species